CCUACGGGAGGCUGCAGUCGAGAAUCAUUCACAAUGGGGGAAACCCUGAUGGUGCGACGCCGCGUGGGGGAAUGAAGGUCUUCGGAUUGUAAACCCCUGUCAUGUGGGAGCAAAUUAAAAAGAUAGUACCACAAGAGGAAGAGACGGCUAACUCGGUGCCAGCAGCCGCGGUAAUACAGAGGUCUCAAGCGUUGUUCGGAAUCACUGGGCGUAAAGCGUGCGUAGGCUGUUUCGUAAGUCGUGUGUGAAAGGCGCGGGCUCAACCCGCGGACGGCACAUGAUACUGGGAGACUAGAGUAAGGGAGGGGGAACCGGAAUGCUCGGUGUAGCAGUGAAAUGCGUAGAUAUCGAGAGGAACACUCGUGGCGAAGGCGGGUUCCUGGACAUUAACUGACGCUGAGGCACGAAGGCCAGGGGAGCGAAAGGGAUUAGAUACCCUGGUAGUC
rnacentral:rRNA from 1 species